GACGUAGGGCGCGAGCGUUGUCCGGAUUUAUUGGGCGUAAAGAGCUCGUAGGCGGCUUGUCGCGUCGACCGUGAAAACUUGGGGCUCAACCCCAAGCCUGCGGUCGAUACGGGCAGGCUCGAGUUCGGUAGGGGAGACUGGAAUUCCUGGUGUAGCGGUGAAAUGCGCAGAUAUCAGGAGGAACACCGGUGGCGAAGGCGGUUCUCUGGGCCUUACCUGACGCUGAGGAGCGAAAGCAUGGGGAGCAAACAGG
rnacentral:rRNA from 1 species